AUUGAACGCUGGCGGCAGGCCUAACACAUGCAAGUCGAACGGUAACAGGAAGAAGCUUGCUUCUUUGCUGACGAGUGGCGGACGGGUGAGUAAUGUCUGGGAAACUGCCUGAUGGAGGGGGAUAACUACUGGAAACGGUAGCUAAUACCGCAUAACGUCGCAAGACCAAAGAGGGGGACCUUCGGGCCUCUUGCCAUCGGAUGUGCCCAGAUGGGAUUAGCUAGUAGGUGGGGUAACGGCUCACCUAGGCGACGAUCCCUAGCUGGUCUGAGAGGAUGACCAGCCACACUGGAACUGAGACACGGUCCAGACUCCUACGGGAGGCAGCAGUGGGAAUAUUGCACAAAGGGCGCAAGCCUGAUGCAGCCAUGCCGCGUGUAUGAAGAAGGCCUUCGGGUUGUAAAGUACUUUCAGCGGGGAGGAAGGGAGUAAAGUUAAUACCUUUACUCAUUGACGUUACCCGCAGAAGAAGCACCGGCUAACUCCGUG
rnacentral:rRNA from 1 species